GCCCACUUCCCGACAGCCUCCGCGCAUCUCUGUGGCAGCUGCCGGGUGCUUCCCGCCCCUCCGCGCCCGCCCACCCAACGGCGCUGUGUCCCGCCGGUAGCUCAGCGCGGACUUCCUUUAUGUUGUACAGGGUUGGGCCUGGAGACCCGGAGGCCGGCGAGGUCCUGGCUGGGAGAGGCCGCCGCUGCCUUCAGGUUCCCGAGACAAUGGAGACUCUGAGAACAUCCAGAAAUAUCCACAGGACUGGAGAGGCUGUGGGCUUUCAACCACCACGAGGGGCUGUUUGCAUAUGAUUCUUCUAAAAUUGACAUCAGUGAAAUGCCUUGAAGAUAAUAAAGUGUUGAAGAAAUAAACAAAAUCAGAAUAUAUGGGAUCAGUUAGCUCUUAUUUAAGAAACAUGGAGGAAAUGAGAGCAAGCAAUGAAGUAAUGUUACAAAAUAACAUAUUUGAGUAGUUCAUACUGGUGGAAUUUUCCUGGCACUCUCAUGAAUUGAAACAUAAUCAUUAAAGACUCUGGCACUUGAAACCGUGAUGACAGCUGCAUUUCUUGCAGUCGAGGGAACUCGGAGUGUUUUAGCUUAUGGGUUCUGUGGAAGCCAGGCCACUUGUCUUCCUCGCUUCAGCCCCCUUCGCACAGGAGGUGACGAAUCUCUUCCCUCGCUGGAGUUCCUGGAGCCACAGUAUACAAAGAAGCCACACACAAAGCUCCUAAAGAGAGCUCCACAGGCCUGAGACAUAUUAAAUUGUCAUCUUCCUGGAACCAAGAGAUUCCCUCCAUUAUGAAAAUGUUGCACAGCCUUAUUAUGCAACACACUCUGUUUUGCUCUGUGUGAGUUCCACUCCCACUGUCACAGCUCUGUCAGCAGACCCUGAGGCCUGGGCAUCAAUUUCAGAUCUUCAUGGAGAGCCAAUGCUGUGGGAAGGGUGUCCUUUAGUCUGUGAUAUUCAUGAGUGAGGGACAGAGCUGGACAUUUUAGUGAAUCUCAGAGCUGCAGGGAAAGUACUGUCUUCAGCUACUCUUCUCUGGCUAGACUUGGGACUAUUCUAUAAUUUCCUUACUGGAUUAAUAAUCAGUACCUCUUGAAUCCUGUGUCCACUGUUCAAUAUAACCUGGUAGGGUGGAACAAUCAGAAAAUCAUCUGCUUUAUGCCUGCAUCCUCUCCUGGCUAAGAUUGCAAUAGGUCCAGUUGUGCACAUUAGGUAGAAUUGUCAUGUCUGAAGAAGGUAGUAUCAUUUUUGUUUUGUAGUUUAUUCUGUAAGGGUUUCUAAUUACAGUACCAUAAUCAAGAAGAAGACAUUCAGCAUGAGACUCCACAGAAGGUGCUAGUCUCAUAGAGAAGUAGACCUCCAUUGAGAAGCUCAGAUGUAGGGACGAGCCCCACAGGGUCGGUGGGUUUUUCUCCCUGUGUGCGGAGACGAGAGAUUGUAGAAAUAAAGACACAAGACAAAGAGAUAAAAGAAAAGACAGCUGGGCCCAGGGGACCACUACCACCAAGACAUGGAGACUGGUAGUGGCCCCGAAUGUCUGGCCACACUGAUAUUUAUUGGACACAAAGCAAAAGGGGCAGGGUAAAGAGUGUGAGUCAUCUCCAGUGAUAGGUAAGGUCAAGUGGUCAUGUGUCCACUGGACAGGGGUCCCUUCCCUGCCUGACAGCUGAGGCAGAGAGAGAGAGAGGGAGAGAGACAGACAGCUUAUGCCAUCAUUUCUGCAUAUCAGAGACUUUUAGUACUGUCACUAAUUUUGCUACUGUUAUCUAAAAGGCAGAGCCAGGUAUACAGGAUAGAACAUGAUAGCAGACUAGGAGAGUGACCACUGAAGCACAGCAUCAGAGGGAGAUGAUUAGGCCUCCAGAUAACUCGGGCGGGCCUGACUGAUGCCCUACACAAGAGGUGGAGGAGGAGAGUCUUCUCUAAACUCCCCUGGGGAAAGGGAGACUCCCAUUCCUGGUCUGCUAAGUAGCGGGUGUUUUUCCUUGACACUGAUGCUACCGCUAGACCAUGGUCUGCUUGGCAACGGGCAUCUUCCCAGAAGCUGGCAUUACCGCUAGACCAAGGAGCCCUCUGGUGGCCCUGUCCGGGCAUAACAGAAGGCUCGCAGUCUUGUCUUCUGGUCAAUUCUCACCGUGUCCCUUCCACUCCUAUCUCUGUAUGGCUUGGUUUUUCCUAGGUUAUGAUUAUAGAGCGAGGAUUAUUAAUAACAUUGGGAUAAAGAGUAAUUGCUAUAAACUAAUGAUUAAUGAUAUUCAUAUAUAAUCAUAUCUAUGAUCUAUAUCUAGUAUAACUUCUUAUUUUAUAUAUUUUAUUAUACUGGAACAGCUUGUGCCCUCGGUCUCUUACCUCGGCACCUAGGUGGCUUGCCACCCACACUCAGAGACCUUUCUCCCUGGGUAAGGUGUGCAGUCCACCAGGGUGCAGACAUGCUCUAAAUCCAUAGGCACCUGAUGUGUCCUAGAAGUAAGGAGCAUAGGUAUGAGCAACCCUACCCCAUCCUCUGUAGCUGACAUCAUUCCCAGUGAUCACUUGACAAGUUUGUGGUGCUGCCCAGUUCAUUGAUGCUUCUCAUGUAGGAGACUAGCAGGCCAGGGAAGAGCCACCAUCUUGGCAAAAACAGCUGAACCUGUCAUUAGGUAAGGGAUGUUUUUCCAUAAUAGAAGACAUAAAUUUAACUAUCAUUAAGUCCUCUAGGUUGUCAUUUGAAACUGCCCAAUAUUGAUAGCAUAUGGACAAAUGAAAACCUCAAUAAAUAGUUAGCUGAAGGAUGUUUAAUGUAUUGUAGUGUGACCUACUGAUGCUGAGCUACACGGUAGUUGUGCUGAAAUGAGGGUGGGUAGAGGUCCUCCUCCACAUGGUGUAGGUGAGCCUGAGGGUCUAGCGACCAACAUGUACCUGGAGAAGAUGCCCAUGGGCAGCAGAACUUGUUAUAGUGGGUUUGCUGAAAGUGUCUAUUUUGGUCCCCUCUAUUAUGUCCCCACAAAGCAUGUGCUGGCUUUCUGAUCUUCAAGAGGGCAAAAAGCAGUGAAGGGCUGAGAGAAUUCUAUCUGUCUCUUGAACCUGAACAUACUGAGAAGCCUAGAGAGAGCUCGGAGCUCCUGGAGACGCUUAUGGGAUUUUCCCACCCAGGAAGACUCUUUGCACAUUAUCUCUCUAGAUAAACACUCAUGUAACACUUUAGUAAAGAUAAAAUGAUAGAAGAAAUUGUCAAAUAACUUCAAUUCAGAAUAUUUAAGUUUAUUUAGAAAGUCAGCAGCAUGCAGUUUUAUUAUUGUAGUUUCAUAGCAUAUUUGCAGUUCAGGUACUAGGAAACCUCCCCCCAGCUUUGAUGUUUGUAUUCAAUGUUACUUUGGACAUCUGGGGUCUUUUGUGAUUCAAUUUUAUCAUUUAAAAAAUAGUUUGUCGAAAAUGUCAUUUCUAUAGAAAUUGCUUUGGAUCUGUAGAUUGCUUUGGGUAGUAUAGACAUGUUAACAGUAUUAUUAUCUUCAAUCUGUGAAUAUGGAAUAGUUUCCCAUAUAUUUGCAUAUAGAUUUAUUUAUUUCAUCAAUGUCAUAUAGUCUUCAAUGCACAGAUUUUCACUUAUUUGACCAACAUUUUUUCUAAGUGAUUUUUAGAAAUAGAUAUUGGUCUUGCUGUGUUGCCCAGGCGGGUCUCAAACUCCUAGCUUCAAGUGAUUCUCCCCUGCCUCCCAAAGUACAAGAAUUACAGGUGUAAACUACUGUGCAUGGCCACUAAGUAAGUUAUUUAAUAUUAUUGUAAAUGCAACUGACAUUGUCUUAUGAUUUUUAAAUAGUUAAUUGCUAGUUUUUAGUAACACUACUGAGUCUUCCAUAUAAAUUUUGUAUACUGCAAUGUUACUAAAUUUGUUUGUUAGUUUUCAGUGGCUGUUUUUUCAGAAUUUUUAAUUUUUUUUGGAAUUUAUAAAGUUAUAUUGUCUGUAAACAGAAACAGUUUAACUUAUUCCCCUCAAUUUCUAUGCCGUUUACUAUUUUUUUCUUUCUCAAAUUUCUAUGGUUAAAACUAUCAUCAAUAUGCUGAUUAGAAGUAUUAAGACUGGGCAUUCUUUUCUUAUUCCUUAUCUUAGAAGAAAAGCUUUCCAUUGUUCUCAGCAGGAAGGUUUAUGUCUGGACUCACACUGACUUCCUCUCACUGUUUGUCUUGCACAGUAAUACAAACCAUGUCCUCAGAUGUCACAGAGCUCAGGUAUAGUCAGAAUUGUUUCUUGGAUGAAUCUCUGGAGAAGGAGAGUUGGCUCUGCAGAGAUGGAUCAUUGUGUGUGUCACCCUUGCAAUGUGCUCCUGACAGCCCAUGGAAGCGGGCUAGUGGAUGCAGCUCCAGCAGUAACUGUUGGUUGGGAUGGACAACCCAGAAAUGGGGCAUGUGAGGAAGAGAAAAUGAAAGUGGAUAGCCUGUUACUGAAAACUGCUGGACUAAGACACUUGUAAGCCUGUCAAUCUCAGUGGCCAACAGACAUGAAAAAAAUUUCCAACAUCAUUAAUUAUCAGAGAAAUGCAAAUAAAAACAACAAUGAAAUACCAUCUCAGACCAGUCAUAAUAGCUAAUAUGAAAAAAGUUAAACAAAAAACAGCUGCUGGGUGGGAAGUGAAGAAAAGGGAACACAUACAUGGGUGGUGGAAAUGUAAAUUAGUUUAGCACUGUGCAAAGCAGUUUAGAGAAUUCUCAAAGAACUUAAAACAGAGCUACUGUUUGACCCAGCAAUCCCAUCAUUAGGUAUAUAGCCAAAGUAAAAUAAAUCAUUCUACCAAAAAAUGCACAUGCACUCAUGCCUCUUGCCACACUAUUCACAACAGCAAAGAUACGGAAUCAAUCUAGGUGCCAAUCAAUGAUGUAUUAGAUGAAUAAAAUGGUAUGUAUGCAAUAUAAAAUCAUAAAAUACCACACAUUCAUAAAAAAAAAAGUGUGGUGCCUCACACCUAUAAUCCCAGCACUUUGGGAGGCUGAGGCAGAUGGAUCAUGAGGUCAGGAGAUCAAGAUCAUCCUGGCCAAUAUAGUGAAACCCCGUCUCUGCUAAAAAUACAAAAUUUAGCUGGGCAUAGUGGCACAUGCCUGUAAUCCCAGCUACCCGGGACGCUGAGGCGGGAGAAUCACUUGAACCAGGGAGUUAGAGGUUGCAGUAAGCUGAGAUCGCGUCACUGCACUCCUGCCUGGUGAGAGAGCGAGACUCUGUCACAAAAGAAACAAAAUCAUGUCCUUUGCAGCAACAUGGAUGCAGCUGGAGGUCAUAGUCGUAAACAAGUUAACACAGAAAAAGGAAACAAAAUACCACAUGUUCUCACUUGAAAGUGAGUGCUAAAGGUUGAGCACAUGUGGACAUGACCAUGGAAACAAUAGGCACUGUGAACUGCUGGAGUGG